UUUUGUGUCAGCAGCCGCGGUAAUACGUAGGGGGCGAGCGUUACCCGGAUUCACUGGGCGUAAAGGGGGCGUAGGCGACUCAGUGUGUCGGGUGUGAAAUCCCACGGCUCAACCGUGGAAUUGCGCCCGAAACUACUGGGUUUGGGGCUGGUAGAGGGAGAUGGAACUGCUGGUGUAGGGGUGAAAUCCGUAGAUAUCAGCAGGAACGCCGGUGGGGAAGCCGGUCUCCUGGGCCAUGCCCGACGCUGAGGCCCGAAAGCUAGGGGAGCAAACCGGAUUAGAUACCCGGGUAGUCCUAGCCGUAAACGAUGCUCACUAGGUGUGGGGGAGUCAUUCCUCCGUGCUGCACGUUAACGC
rnacentral:rRNA from 1 species